CCGCAUAACAUUUUCAUUCUUCAGUCAAAGACUUUGCUAUGGCUUCCAAACUAUGACCUAAGUAUACAAAACAACAGGUUCUUAUGGAACUGUGGGACCAUAGGAAUCUCUUUAAAGAAGACACUCUUUUAAAGUGUAUCCUGUCUGCCUCGCUUCACCCCCAGCUGGUUGCAGCAGAUGUCUGCCACCGCCCCCCACCCCCCGAUUCUGCCGGAGGUUCUUCCUGUGAAAAAGGAGUUUUUCCAUCCACUAUCACCAGGUGCUUGUAGAAGCUCAUCUGAUUGUUGGGGUUUUCUCCAUAUUAUUGUAGGUCGUUAUCUUAAUGACUGCUGUUGUGAUUUGCUUCUGUAUAGAUAAAAGUGAAUUGAAAUGAAAAAGAACUUUGAAAGAAAAUUUAUUUCUCUUCCUGUUUCAAAUUCUUCCAUUCCUGCACCAGCACUGACAUUUAUUUUUUUUUACUGAGCAGUAACACCCAUAGAUCAGGAGAAGACUGCUGUGAGUCCUGCACACCUCAAGCGCCAGCAGAAGCAGUGACUGUCAGAGUUGGCAUACGCAAAAGCCAACACACCAUGAAUGAGGCUUUACGGUGAUUUUGAAAUGGUAUGACUUCAUAGUUUGUCCAGCAGAGCCAUUUCAUCAUUUAUAACAAGUGUAGCAGAGCAUGCAUCAUUGGUGAGCAGACAGAUGGUGGCGUGGAAUAAAGUGGCCUUUUCAAAACUUUUAGCUUGAUGUUCAAAGCGCUAUUAUUUAACUCAUAAUGUAUUUAUGAGUCAAUACUUUUCUCGUUGAUAUUUAAGCAGCACACAAUUUUUCUUCAAUUUUAAAGUGACAAACUGCUACAUGUCUGCAUCCUAGAAUUGAGCAUGGUGUACAGGGUACAGAAAUAAGGCAUUGGGGAUAACAGACAUCUAUCCAAACCUAGGUGAAGGUGCUCAAAACUUUAGGCCCUUGUCCAUUAGUACCUACUAGGACUAACUUGCCACACUUU